CUUGUUCUUUUUUUUUUUUUUUAAGAGAAAAGCAAGUCAUCCACCAUGAAAGCUUUUGAAGACAAGUAAGGGGAGGUGUUAACCAUGUGAAGGAGAUGCUGCUGUCAAACCCAGAGGGUUCAACAGUCUGGGAAUAAAGCUUGCCCGAAGGAAGUGA